rnacentral:rRNA from 1 species
GCAAGUGUGCACCAAGUGGGAUUUUCUCUCACUAGGCUGAGAGCAUCUCUUUCUAACUCACUUUUUAAUUGAGAGCUCUUUCUAGAUUCUAUGGGUGGUGGUGCAUGGCCUUUCUUAGUUGGUGGAAUGAUUUGUCUAGUUAAUUUUGUUAACGAAUGAGACUUCAGCCUACAAACUAGCUAUGCGGAGGUACCCCUCCGUGGCCAGCUUUUUAGAGGGACUACCUCCUUUUAGGCCAUGAAAGUUUGAGGCAAUAAUAGGUCUGUGAUGCCCUUAGAUGUUCUGGGCCACACACGUGCUACACUGAUGUAUUCAACAAGUUUAUAGCCUUGGCCGACAUGUUCGGGUAAUCUUUGAAAUUUCAUUGGGAUGGGGAUAGAUCAUUGCAAUUGUUGGUCUUCAAUGAGGAAUUCCUAGUAAACGUGAGUCAUCAGCUCACGUUGACUAUGUCCC